GUGAAUCAUCGAAUUUUUGAACGCAAAUUGCACUCUCUGGUAUUCCGGAAAGUAUGCCUGUUUGAGGGUCAGUUUAAUAAAAAUCGGUGUUGUUUGUGCCUUUCGUUGUGGAGCCACGGCAUUUGGGUCUUCUACCUUUCGUUUAGGUCAGCUAACUUUUUGCAUGAUUUUUGUCGGUCUUUUAGUAAUUAUUGUACGUAUGAGUUAUAUAUUGAAUA
rnacentral:misc_RNA from 1 species